rnacentral:misc_RNA from 1 species
GAUGAAGAACGCAGCGAAAUGCGAUAAGUAAUGUGAAUUGCAGAAUUCAGUGAAUCAUCGAAUCUUUGAACGCACAUUGCGCCCGCCAGUAUUCUGGCGGGCAUGCCUGUUCGAGCGUCAUUUCAACCAUCAAGCCCCCGGCUUGUGUUGGGGACCUGCGGCUGCCGCAGGCCCUGAAAACCAGUGGCGGGCUCGCUAGUCACUCCGAGCGUAGUAAUACAUCUCGCUCAGGGCGUGCUGCGGGUUCCGGCCGUUAAAAAGCCUUAUUUACCCAAGGUUGACCUCGGAUCAGGUAGGAAGACCCGCUGAACUUAAGCAUAACAAUAAGCGGAGGA